rnacentral:rRNA from 1 species
GACGAACGCUGGCGGCGUGCUUAACACAUGUAAGUCGAACGGAAAGGCCCUGCUUUUGUGGGGUGCUCGAGUGGCGAACGGGUGAGUAACACGUGAGUAACCUGCCCUUGACUUUGGGAUAACUUCAGGAAACUGGGGCUAAUACCGGAUAGGAGCUCCUGCUGCAUGGUGGGGGUUGGAAAGUUUCGGCGGUUGGGGAUGGACUCGCGGCUUAUCAGCUUGUUGGUGGGGUAGUGGCUUACCAAGGCUUUGACGGGUAGCCGGCCUGAGAGGGUGACCGGCCACAUUGGGACUGAGAUACGGCCCAGACUCCUACGGGAGGCAGCAGUGGGGAAUAUUGCACAAUGGGCGGAAGCCUGAUGCAGCAACGCCGCGUGCGGGAUGACGGCCUUCGGGUUGUAGACCGCUUUCGCCUGUGACGAAGCGUGAGUGACGGUAAUGGGUAAAGAAGCACCGGCUAACUACGUG